rnacentral:misc_RNA from 1 species
GUGAAUUGAAUAUGUUAGCGGACCUCUUCGGAGUCCCUAGCAUCAAAUCAUAUCCAUAACACCUGUGAACUGUAAGGCUGUCUUGAAAACGAAAGCGAUUAAAGCGCCUGCCCAUUUUAUACAAACAUUAAAGUAACAAACGUAGUCUUAUUAUAAUCUAAUA